rnacentral:rRNA from 1 species
GACGAACGCUGGCGGCGUGCUUAACACAUGCAAGUCGAACGGUGAAGCGCCUUCCUUUUUGGUGGGUGUGGAUGAGUGGCGAACGGGUGAGUAACACGUGAGUAACCUGCCCCCUUCUUCUGGAUAACCGCAUGAAAGUGUGGCUAAUACGGGAUAUUCUGGGUCUGUCGCAUGAUGGGUCUGGGAAAGAUAUUGUUUCGGUGGGGGAUGGGCUCGCGGCCUAUCAGCUUGUUGGUGGGGUGAUGGCCUACCAAGGCGGUGACGGGUAGCCGGCCUGAGAGGGUGGACGGUCACACUGGGACUGAGACACGGCCCAGACUCCUACGGGAGGCAGCAGUGGGGAAUAGUGCACAAUGGGCGCAAGCCUGAUGCAGCGACGCCGCGUGAGGGAUGGAGGCCUUCGGGCUGUGAACCUCUUUCGCCAGUGAAGCGGGCCUGCCUCGUUUGUGGGUGGGUUGACGGUAGCUGGAUAAGAAGCGCCGGCUAACUACGUG